UACGUAGGUGGCAAGCGUUGUCCGGAUUUACUGGGCGUAAAGAGCGCGCAGGCGGCCAAGUCAGUCGAAUGUGAAAGCCCCCGGCUCAACUGGGGAGGGUCAUUCGAUACUGCUCGGCUCGAAGACAGGAGAGGGAAGUGGAAUUCCCGGUGUAGUGGUGAAAUGCGUAGAGAUCCGGAGGAACCCCAGAGGCGAAGGCGGCGCUCUGGCUCGCAACUGACGCUCAGACACGACAGCAUGGGGAGCGAACGGG
rnacentral:rRNA from 1 species